GCAAAUUACCCACUCCCGGCACGGGGAGGUAGUGACNAAAAAUAACGAUACGGGACUCAUCCGAGGCCCCGUAAUCGGAAUGAGCACACUUUAAAUCCUUUAACNAGUAUCCAUUGGAGGGCAAGUCUGGUGCCAGCAGCCGCGGUAAUUCCAGCUCCAAUAGCGUAUAUUAAAGUUGUUGCGGUUAAAAAGCUCGUAGUCGGACUUGUGUCACACGCUGCCGGUUCACCGCCCGUCGGUGUUUAACUGGCAUGCACGUGCUGACGUCCUGCCGGUGGCCCAAGCGGGUCCGGGAGCUCUGGGUGCGGGAUUCCCUUCGGGGGCCCGCCUCGAACCCGGUGUCCUGGGAGGGCCUACUCAUACCCCUCGCGGUGCUCUUAACCGAGUGUCUCGAUGGGCCGGCACGUUUACUUUGAACAAAUUAGAGUGCUUAAAGCAGGCAGCAUCCGCCUGAAUACUGAGUGCAUGGAAUAAUGGAAUAGGACCUCGGUUCUAUUUUGUUGGUUUUCGGAAUCCCCGAGGUAAUGAUCAAUAGGGACAGACGGGGGCAUUCGUAUUGCGACGUUAGAGGUGAAAUUCUUGGAUCGUCGCAAGACGGACCGAAGCGAAAGCAUUUGCCAAGAAUGUUUUCUCUGAUCAAGAACGAAAGUUAGAGGUUCGAAGGCGAUCAGAUACCGCCCUAGUUCUAACCAUAAACGAUGCCAGCCAGCAAUCCGCCGAAGUUCCUCCGAUGACUCGGCGGGCGGCUUCCGGGAAACCAAAGCUUUUGGGUUCCGGGGGAAGUAUGGUUGCAAAGCUGAAACUUAAAGGAAUUGACGGAAGGGCACCACCAGGAGUGGAGCCUGCGGCUUAAUUUGACUCAACACGGGAAACCUCACCAGGCCCGGACACCGGGAGGAUUGACAGAUUGAGAGCUCUUUCUUGAUUCGGUGGGUGGUGGUGCAUGGCCGUUCUUAGUUGGU
rnacentral:rRNA from 1 species